UAAGUGGAGCACAAAAUGUUCCAGGAGUGCCCAACUCCUAGAAAAAGGCAGCCAGUCUUUGCUAAGAGCAGCAGGCAUGAGACUAUGGCCUGGAAAUUGAGGAAGAAAGAAAUUGAAAGAGAUAUGGCCCACAGAAAGACCAAAAACAACUUCCCUCCUACCACCCCCACUGAGCCUUAAGAAGGGAUUCUUCAUUUUAUUGUGUUCAUCUAGCAUCGCCGUGACUCUCAUGAAAUCAUGAUUUCAGAUACAAGGGGAAAGUAAGAGAGGAAGACGAGGAAAUGGACAGGAACGGGAGGAAAAGAAGAAUAACAAUGCAGUGCUUUGAAAAGUACACAUGCUCCCGAAGUGAUAUUUCCUCAAGAUCCUGUUUGCAGCACCUCCAUGUACAACCUCUCGUUAACCUUCCAUGAAGGUAAGGAUCAGGUAAGUCCAGUUUAGGUCAUGCUUUACCAGUGUGUGUCAAGGGGGACAACAGCAUGACAAAAUUACUUCCAGGUUUAAUUUCUCAAAGUGCCUAAGAUGGUGGCAAUACUAGGAAUGUGUUGUGUUGCCUGGCACAGAAACUGCAUUCUUGUAAAAUUAUCUGGCUAUGAAAUAAAUUGGAAGAGCAGCUGGAUGAAGUCCCCUUUGCUCUCUGGUAAUGACCCAAGACACUAGCACUAGGGAGUGUGUAACCAUGCCUCUGUCUCUGUUCAUUCCAUGUUCCCCUUUGUAUUUUAACAGAUCUUGUAUGAUAUCCAACAUAAAGCAGCAAACUAAAAGCUAGUGAUAGCAAGUGUCUGUUAACUUAGACACAGAUAUGUGUAAAUUUA